CACUCCAUCUGGACAGCCACCUUCGGCCUUUCAAUUCCGACUUGGUGGCUGUAAAGGCAUCCUCGCAGUUUCUUCGGAUGCCCAUGGACAAGAGGUGCAUAUCCGAAAAAGUCAAUACAAGUUUGCGGCUGCACAUCAUGGGCUUGAAAUAAUCAGGCAUUCUCAUUUCUCGUUGGCGACUCUAAACCGCCAGCUCAUUCUUGUUUUGUCUUGUCUGGGUGUUCCUGACAAAGUUUUUAUCGCCAAACUCCGCAUGAUGAUGGAUAAGUUAGAGCAGGCCAUGACUAACGAGGAGCAGGCUGUCCAUCUUCUGCAAACACAUGUUGACCCGAACCAGAUGACCUUGAUUCUCGCGGAUAUGGUACGCGACGGAUUCCAGGGAUCGAAAGAGCCAUUUGUCUCAUCGCUUCUUGAAUUAUGGCGUACGUGGCAAAUAAAAUAUCUCAAGGAAAAGGCCAAAAUCGCGGUAGAUGAGGGAGCUUUCCUUUUGGGCUGCAUCGAUGAAACCAAAACUCUGAAAGGAUACUUCCGCAGUUCACGGCCAGGACAAGACGCAACAUACGAGGAGAGGGUGGCAUGUCUACCUGAAAUAUUUGUUCAAGUCUGGCGACAUAGUGAAGGUAAAUAUGUUAUCAUUGAGGGUGUUUGCAUUCUUGCUCGAAAUCCGUCUCUUCACCCGGGUGAUAUACGUGUUGUCAAGGCAGUCAAUGCGCCUUCGCUGCAUCAUCUUAGGGACGUUGUUGUCCUCCCACAAACUGGGGAUCGAGACAUCUCAAGCAUGUGUUCCGGGGGUGAUCUGGAUGGUGAUGACUAUGUUGUGAUCUGGGACCAGGAUAUAUUACCGACGGACUGGUUUCAUGACCCAAUGGACUAUGCCGCACCGAAGCCUGAAGUUCUGGAUCGCGACGUCACUGUUGACGAUAUCACCAAGUUCUAUGUAAACUAUAUGCAGAACGACCGUCUUCCACAAAUUGCUCUUGCACACCUGGCCUUGGCAGAUUAUAUGGAAGAGGGAGUUAAGAACGAGAAAUGCCUUCAACUCGCUGCCCUGCAUUCCGCAGCGGUUGAUUACAAUAAAUCAGGAAUACCAGUUAAACUGACGCGAAAUUUGAAACCAAGGAGGUGGCCUCACUUCAUGGAAAGGAAAAUGAGAAACAAAUACGCGGAGUAUGUUUCUCAAAAAAUUCUCGGACAAUUGUACGACAUGGCUAGCCACAUAGAUGUGCACUCAAAGCCACCGUCUUGGUCUCCUGUAGAAAGCCCAAAGUUCGACAAACGGAUUUUAAACUCAGGUAUCGAAGUUGAUGAAGAAUUGUUAAGCUUUGCAACUAACCUCAAAACACAAUACGAUGCGGAUAUGCGGCGGAUCAUGGCCCAACAUGAAAUCAAGACCGAACUCGAAGUCUGGUCAACGUUUGUAUUAAGUCAUUCGGAAAUGAUUAAAGAUUACAAAUUCCAUGAAGACAUUGGUCGCAUAUCAUCCUCCCUACGAGAGAAGUUCCGCAUUAUGUGCCAUGAAAAAGCAGGGGGGAAGGAGUUUGAGCAUCUUGCGCCACUUGCCGUUGCGAUGUAUAAAGUGACCAGUGAACAGUGGGAGAUAGCUGUGGCUGUACAACACGAUGUUUUCAUUGAUAAUUCACAUUUUCAGGAGAGAAAGUUGCCCCUCAUCAGUUUCCCUUGGGUACUCCAGCCAAUUCUUGGUAGGAUCGCAAAUGAGUCUUUUGAAAAUCCAGUGACUCGCAGAGGGUGCCCCGCACACAUACAGGUUGAGAUUCCUCGCGGGUCCAAACCCAGAAAAAUUAUGGCCAGUCUUCUCUCCCCAGAUGUUGAAACUUCAGACGGCGUGAAGCAUGCUGGCAAUGUCUUGCAGCUCUUCGAAGACUCCAAACAGGACCCGAUUGACCGUCUAUGUAUAAUGUUUGACGAGACGGCAUCCUCGGUCCACCAGACAGAAAAUAUUACCCCACCGUUUAAUGGAACGAAGGGUGAAAUCACA
rnacentral:sRNA from 1 species